CCUUGUACACACCGCCCGUCACACCAUGGGAGUUGGUUCUACCUUAAGUCGGUGUGCUAACCCGCAAGGGAGGCAGCCGCCCACGGUAGGGUCAGCGACUGGGGUG
rnacentral:rRNA from 1 species